rnacentral:rRNA from 1 species
GGCGAACCGUGCGAACGUUAUUCGGAAUCACUGGGCUUAAAGCGCGUGUAGGCGGCCCGGCGCGUCGGAUGCUGAAAUCCCCCGGCUCAACCGGGGAAGGGGCGCCGAUACGGCCGGGCUGGAGGGGGGUAGGGGGCGCUGGAACUCACGGUGGAGCGGUGAAAUGCGUUGAGAUCGUGAGGAACGCCCGCGGCGAAAGCGAGCGCCUGGACCCUUUCUGACGCUGAGACGCGAAAGCCAGGGGAGCGAACGGG